CUCGGCUGAGGGGACGCGAGGACUGUCCUCGCCGCCGUCGCGGGCAGUGUCUAGCCAGGCCUUGACAAGCUAGCCGGAGGAGCGCCUAGGAACCCGAGCCGGAGCUCAGCGAGCGCAGCCUGCAGCUCCCGCCUCGCCGUCCCGGGGGGCGUCCCGCCUCCCACCCCGCCUCUGGACUUGUCUCUUUCUCCGCGCGCGCGGACAGAGCCGGCGUUUAGGCCCGAGCGAGCCCGGGGGCCGCCGGCCGGGAAGACAACGCGGGCACCGAUUCGCCAUG
rfam:Mus musculus chromosome 12, GRC primary reference assembly.